UAGUAUAUUUAUGUUUCUUGAAUUAUUGAACAAUAAACCUUGAAUGUGUACAGAGAUUAAUUGAUAAUAAUUUAUUCUAGUUGGGACUGUCAUUUCUACUGGAUGUGGCUACAAUUGGCCAAAAACAAAGAGAACAAAUUUCUGUACUGCCAUAGAUUAGAAUCACGUAUAUUUUUGCAAUUAUGAGCAUCAUUGACUGCAACCGACAUUUAAUUGCAACUUGAACUUAAACACUUCCGGAAUUUUACCCGGAGAAGGAAAUUCCAAAUACUAAUGAGAAUGAUCAAUUACAAUUUAUGAGAAGGCUGAACAAUUCCUGAGAAAUAAAACUAAUUUGGAGCUGAAGAAUGAAAUCAAGAGGAAAUUUGAUCAAAAUAAAAGAUGAAGACGACCUUAAGAAAGUGAAUCAGCUUUUGUUAAAACCAAGUCUACGUAUGACCCUAGUUCACUUCUACUAAGAGCCAGGAACACGUGGGGCUUUUUCUCACGAAGUUCCAGUUGCGUUGAUUUUAGCAUACUCGAAUAAUGCAAAAUGGAACUCCAUCGGUUAAAAUUUGGAUCAUUCCCGUUCAGGGCAUUUCGAGCUAGCUCCUCUACUAUAACGUUACGUUCUCAGAUUAUAGGAUUUAUUAGAUUAUUGGUAGCUUCACCACUUUGCGUCAAUUCAAAACGCUAAAUCAGAUGUGGAUUAGACCGAUUGGUUUGACGCAUUCCGAAAAAUGCUAGAAAUGAUAUUUCGGUAAAGACAGGUGUGGAAAUAUUCGUCUGUACCCUUAAGAUCGGAGCCGUGGCCUGCACUUUGACAGUUGAACUAUUUUAGGCGAAUAGUGGAAAUGUGGCUUUGAAAUGAUCUAGAUGAUUUAAACAUUUUGGUGGUGGUGUACAAACGCUUUAGUGCUGUUAUAUAUACAGGGUGAAAAUUUUGUCUCGAACACUGAAUAUAUUUUCAAAAUAACAUUUUUUAAAGAAGCUUUUUAUGGCAUUAGAAAUUAUAAAACGUUUGCUAUCAAUCUACGCAUUUUGAGUGUAUGGUCAGUUGCGUACUUUGCUUGGGCAAGAGAAGCUUAUUUCUUUUAAUGGUAGGUAACCACUAGUUUUCAUUCUCUAUAGGGUCACUGUAGUUUUUAUUACAUAUUCUUAAAGAGCAACAUAAAAAACUUACUACAUUACAUAAUCAAAUUUAAGAGAAAAACUCAAAUUAAAGAAAACAGUUUGUUAAUUAAUUUCAUAAUUUUACUAGUGUGACCAUGUUUCUUUGUCAUAUGAAAAUUCACUCUUUAAUAAUACCUCACUAAAAAUAGUGCUUUUCUUUAAAAAAAAGCUUCUUUAAUAAAACGUUGAUUUGAAGAUAUAGUCAGUAUUCCAGACAAGAUUUUCACACUGUAUAUAUAAAAAUGAAUGUUUGCAUGGAUCUUAUGCCUGCCUAAACCGUUCAUUCGAUCGCGAUACUUUGGGGAAUGGCUCAACGUAUGCUCGCGAAGGUUUCGGCUUUAAUAAACCAAAAAAAUUUUUCAUCAAACGUGGCCAUAAGCUAUCACGCUUUUUUCCGUAUAUUUUGUGGAUUACUUAUAUCAGUUAAUCAAGAAAAUUCAUAAUUGCAAAAGUGAGUUCAACGGAUUGGAUUUUGCACACAUUGAACCCAACGGAAAAUGGUUCCACAAACAAGCGAAAAUACCACUAUAAUAAAGAUAUUAAUCUUUUGUGGUAAGACAAGAAAUAUAGCGAACGCUGUUUUAUGUAAAUGCGUAAUGCAAUUAUCAUUAACAUUACUUCAGAAUUCUGAGAAGAUUAUUUCUUCUCUGCGCGUGAAAAUGUUUCUCUUGUUUCCUGCCGAUAGCAAUCUAGAUGGCAUUCCUCAAUAAUCAAUAAGCAGUAUGCAGGCCAUGUGUCAAUGAUGUGUCGCGUAAAAUAUAGACGUUCAUAAAUCUAUGUUUGCCUUAAUUUGUAGUCCCUUUGCAUAAACACCAGAAUACAUACAUAGUAAAUAUAUUUGCAUACAAUAUUUUAUUUAAAAUUUCAUGUAAGGUCGAGUUAAAGUAAAUACUUAUUAGAUGCGUCUAAUUUUAUUAAAUCAAUCGUGAUAGAUUGAUUUAGUAACUGAGCUGUCACAUUACAUUAGGUUCCUAGGUUGAGUGAACCAAGGUUUUCUGUCACAUCACAUCACAAAAUGAUCUAAAACGUAUCGAGAGUAGAUAUGAGAAGGACAAAUCGUGGUAAUGUGUGCGUUACUACAUGUCAUGAGUAUUGAAAUUAGAUAAUUAAAGGCUGUGUACAUCAAGCAUUAUCUUUUUUUCCUAGGGAGGGCCCUUUGUAUUAAAAAUAUGCGAUCGACAUGUAAAUACCUAAAUGCUUCGCGUCCAAACUGGUAAUAGUGACUGCAAUUGCAAAAUAUCCGAUAAGUUAUAAAGGUAUAACAAUGCGCAUACCAUCCACAAAUUUUAAAUUUAUUUAUCUAGGUUGAUAAGAGAUAGCAUCAUAUUGUAAUAAAAUGUUGCAAUUAACCUAACCAUAUAUUGAUAUUAGAACAAAUUUCUCUACAAAAUUCUAUGGCAUAAUUUUACUUACAUAUCUCAGUGUGCACAAUUUUUGAAACUUACAACGAGCACUGCCACACUUGAGUACAAUAGAGUAGGUAAUCGAGCACCUGCUUUAACGAUGUCAAGUAUUUAUAAGAUUUCACGAUCAAAACAGAUAAUUCACAAAACUAAUAUACUUAUUCAUGAUUGUUACCGUUCCCUCUUUACGUUCCUUGAAAACAUUGAUGCAAGAUUAAUAGAAAUGUGAUUCUUGUUAUCCCUGUAUCUAUAAUCAACUUUCGCUGCUUUAAUUAUGUCUACAACGCCAUUCAGAAUUUGCGACGAUAAAAAGCUUUGUGUGGAAAAAUGAGAGGGUUAAGCAAUCCAUGGCCAAGGUGUGUUAGUAAACAAACUUUGAAGGUUCCAAGGGGAUUUCCACCGCUUACACUCAAACUUCUCUUUUUGGCAGUAAUGUUAAUAAAACUCGCCCUGAAGCAGGCCGUGGUCAUCGAAUAAUUUAAUCAAUAACGUGGUAAACCCUGGGACAAUUAUGUGGUGUGCUCUAUCAGGAAUUGGAAAUGUAACGCUAUGAUCACCUUGACUCAGCACAGUACAAAAUUAUCUUUAUUGUAUGUAAUAAUGUGGUGUGCUAUGUAUGACUUGGAUUACUUAAUCAUUGUUUCUAAACGAACAUGAAAGAACUGCUUACCUAUCUGAAUUACCAUAAUUCAGUUAAUUUACACAAAUCGCAUUUAUCAGAAAAACUUAUCUAAUUAAAUUUGUAGGUUUUUCUAUUCGAUAAAAUUAUUUAUUAUUUUGAGUACUUAUGUGUCACUUUCUGGCCAAGAGAUUAGUAUAAGUGACAAUAAACUAACCUUUUGAAUAAAAACAAAGGUGAUCGAUAAGUACCUACAUGAGGUAAUAGUCUCAGCGUUAUCAAUAAACUAACGGUCUUUUUGUUAUUUUGAUUCGUUUGAUGCUGUGCGCUAUAAAACUUCGAGGUCACUUAGCUGCUUUGGUUAUUAAUGACUUCAGUGAAAUUCGCCGCGAAAAAUUAAAGCGUCACUUUGACGUUUUAGGAAAAUUGCUUUUUAGCUCAUUUGUACCAAAGAACUUAAAAAGAAAUAGAAAAUAGAGCGAAAUUAACUACUACGAAGCGGAUACGAACCUCCAGAAGUGACAGAAAAUAAAAGGAACGUUACGGUAUUGAAGAUUUUCAGCAGUCCCUAAAUAAAUUGAACUGAAAGAAGAUGCCUCAUCUGGGAUGCGACAUGCUCAGAUACGUUGGCCAAAUCUGUUCGCUCAGAACGCCGCUUCGUUGAAACGAAAAAAAUAUCGACAAUUUGGCUUUCCAGCAAUUUGUAGUGAACAUUCGGACCAUGGUGCGAAGAAGAGGAAUUGGUUAUGAAAGUGGAAAAAUUACUAAUUAGAGAAAGCGGCGACUCCAAAUCCGAAUCAUAGCUGACUCAACGGGGAACGCAAUAUCUGUGAUGGGAAAAUUUAAAUCUGGAGAGGCUCUUCCGGAAAUUUUUUACAUUUCAAACAAUUAUUGCCGUUUUCACAACCAACCUAACCGAAAAGAGAACAAACAAAUCCCUAAACGACUUGUGCAAUUUAUCUGCUGCAGUAGAUGUACCUAAAUAAACCGCUUCCGAAAAAUUAUGAACAAAUUCGUAUGAAAUACCUAAAUGCUAUAAGUGCGUACUUACGUGCUGUCUGUCACGGAUUAUUAACACGAUAAAUCAAGCAAGGAGAGAGCUUGUAUUUUCAAUAAUCACAGGCCAAGUCUGCUGUUUGAAUGAGCUCGUUAUUGAUUAACAAAUGAGAUUUAUUAAAGCAUUUCAAAAUUAAUUCGCUAAUGUUAUUUGACAUACCUGAAUUCUGACAAAGCAGAUAUCAACACCGUUAUAUAAUUAUGCAUUAAGCUUGAAUGAGCAUCCAUUUGAUCGCAAUAGAUGGAUAUACAUUAUACAUGAAUAGAAUUUGACUAUUUUCAAUACAUAUUUUUUAAGCAAAUCAUAUCCAAUAUUGUGUAUCAACUUUAUUAGGAAAACGGAAGAGCUUUCCGUUUUUCAUUACUGCACGGUUCAUUACUUGUCAAUGAUGCUAUUAAAAAAUUGGCGAUAUUGUUGUUAAAUGAGUGUGCUCUUUGAGCGGGUAUCGGAAAUUUCCUAAUGUCUACGUUGACUUGGUUGGAAAGAUAUUUUUCGAAAGUGGCAUACAAUGAACUCUGAAGAAAGUAGGUAUAAAGUACUAGAUUAAUCGGAGACUUACUCGAAAUCUUCCCCGUACUGUCACGAUAUCGGUCGUGAAAACGAGUAUUGGUACAUGGCUUGUAACCUGCUUUACACUCGUAUUUAAAAUAUAAAUACAGCAAACGAUUUAUAUAGUUAAAAGUAAUUGUGAAAAACAAAUCCUUGGAAUCCAUGGUGGUUAAAUUUUGGGAUUAUCAGCAUUUUUGGCAUUUAUUUUGAGGUGGGCGGGGUUUAUAUUCUUCGUUUUCUCCAUUUCAGUCAUUUCUUUUUAGAUCUUCAAUCUUUGAUACUUCGGCGUAUUCCUGUUCAAGGGAGCCACUCUCAGUUUAUAUGGAAGGUCUUUCUAUUGUGUAACAUUUUUUACCUUACGAAGACAAGCAAAGUCAGAAGAAAAUACUCUUGGAAGUUUUUAUUCAAUUUCAAACUAGAAAGUUAGCUUGUACAUACGAUUUCACUAUUUGUUGUUAUAGGGCGGGGACAGGCAGCUAGCAAGGGAGUGACGUUUACGUAGAAAUCUGAAAAGUAAAGUUGCCAUGUUUCUCUUUUUUUUACAGUCUCAUGGCAGUGCAUUGUUUAUACUCCAUUGGGUCAAAUGUUGGCGAUUGAAUUGUUUAUUGCAAUCUUUUCGUAACUUGGCGUAAAAAACUUCGGAGUCGUAUAUUUUGGAAUAAAAGCUACGUCUUAGUUUCCUACAUAAAUUACGCUCACAAAACUUAUUAUACCGAUGUUAAAGCUGAGUUGUGCUGUCAA